rnacentral:lncRNA from 1 species
UCGAAGGAUGUCGGGGACACACUAAUAUAUUAACAAUGUAAGUGUCCUUUGAGUAUAUCAACCAUAAUAAAGAUACGAAAAAAAAAAACAGGAUUAGUGUUCCUUGCUUGCUUCCAUUUCAUGCACUCAAUUUCAGGAUUCAAUUUUUGUAAAUAUUCGAGAAAAAAAAGUUUUAGAAGGUGAAAGUCAGAUUUCGUUUCAGUUAAGCCAGGG